GACGAACGCUGGCGGCGUGCCUAAUACAUGCAAGUCGAGCGCUGAAGGUUGGUACUUGUACCAACUGGAUGAGCAGCGAACGGGUGAGUAACGCGUGGGUAAUCUGCCUUUUAGCGGGGGACAACAUUUGGAAACGAAUGCUAAUACCGCAUAAAAACUUUAAACACAAGUUUUAAGUUUGAAAGGUGCAAUUGCAUCACUCAAAGAUGAUCCCGCGUUGUAUUAGCUAGUUGGUGAGGUAAAGGCCCACCAAGGCGAUGAUACAUAGCCGACCUGAGAGGGUGAUCGGCCACAUUUGGACUGAGAAAAGGCCCAAACUCCUUCGGGAAGCAGCAGUAGGGAAUCUUCGGCAAUGGAGGGAAGGCUGAACGAGCAAAGCCGCGGGAGUGAAGGAGGUUUUCGGAUCGUAAAACUCUGUUUGUUGAGAAGAACGUUGGUGAGAGUGAAAAGCUCAUCAAGUGACGGUACCUAACCAGAAAGGGACGGCUAACUACGUG
rnacentral:rRNA from 1 species